rnacentral:tRNA from 1 species
GCCCUCGUAUUUAAAUGGAUAUAAUGCCUCCCUCCGAAGGAGGUGGUGCAGGUUCGAUUCCUGCCGAGGGCACAA